GUUCCACUUCCACCUUGGAGCUUUUCAAGGCCAAGGUGGAUCAAUCCUAUAGCUGACCCUGCUUGGAGCAAGGCAUAGGACUAGAGACAUCUCUUCCCCACACUUUACCCUGUGCUGCUGGUGCUGAGUGGAGACUCCUCCAUGAGAGGGAAGGGGCCAAAGGUGUUGCCUAUAACCCUAUAGCACCUAAAACAGGGCCAGGGCCUUUUCUCUAGCCAUGAAGCCAAGUGGCAAUGCACAGCUCAACACCUAAGGACAUAUUUCCCAGCGAGGGGACCUAAUCCACACUAGGGUCAUCACUUGCAUGUGGGAGAAGGCUGGGUGGCCCAGACCAAGUCAUCCAGGACACAGACACAUGGUGCAAGUAACUGGGGGACAGCUUGAACCUGUACAUGUCUUAGGAUAGACAUUGACCAGAGCUCUCUGCAGCCCCACAUCAGCCUCUACACCCUGGCCUCCCAGUCCCUUGAGCAUGGUGAGUUCCUUUGGCCACCCAUUGAGCAUGGCUCCUUGGGAGGGGUAGAGCCAUGCCUAGGUCUUAUGUGACGGCAGACUUUGGUAGGAAGAUGUUUAAAUACCUCCCAGAUCCUGUCUGACCUUCCUGGCCUACAAGGCGAGUAAGAGGAUGGUCUUCUCAAGUCAUGCUUGCAUUGUGUUUAUGGUUUCUCACCUGGUGAUACUGCUGUUCCAUGUAAAAGUUCACACUCACCCACUAUGUGUCCAUUGGAGGGAUGUUGUCUGGAUGAGAUGGGUGCAGUGGGGCUGUGCCUAUGGAGAAUCUCUACUUGAAAUGGAAAUGGCAAAGAGUAGAGCUUAACCGCAACGCCAGCCAGAGGACAUGCAUGGCCAUCAAAAAGCCAUCAAGAAAAUCAGAGGGACCAGCCCAUCAUCAAAUCACAAGGGCCAACAAACCAGUUUGGAGCCCUUGGUGAGUCUGUGUGCCUCUUCUCUGCCCAGAAAGCGCCAACCUGCCCACAUGUACACAAUGAUCUUGCAACUGUUAGUGAAGCUCUUGCAGGUAGAGAUGUGCACCUUUUGGUCAUGGUUUCUCCUUGGCCUGGAGCAGUUCAUCUCUCCAUCAGCUUGUCUUUGGUGUCUCAUCCUUGUAGUCACAAUUUGAUCUCCUUGUUCACAAGCCCUAAAGUAUUACUGUUCAUCAGGUUGCUACUUCAGUGUCUGCUGCUCAGAAAAGCUGAUAAGUAGCAAGGUGUCAUCAAACAGCUCUGUCCCCACCAACCCAUGGCCAGAUAGUCCUGCCACAUGGUGUACAAAUUUAAACACAAGCCGGCAACAUCUAGAGCAGAAGCUGGACCAUGUGGCUCUAUCUCCUGAGCUAAAAGAGCUUCUCAAUGGACUUGAUUCCAAUCCAAUGAUGCAGCCCAUCGCUAACAUAUAAUGGGCUCAUUUGUAGGCCAGCAGGUUGACUAUAUGGGAGAGGUUUGCCCCAAGAACAGGAGAUAAGAACCCAUCAUUUUUACUGUUAUUCUUUGGGUGACACCACACUUCAGGUAGGACAAGGGGGCUCAUUUGAGCUCUCUAUCCCACUUCUUCUCCAGCUUGUAAAAUGAAGGGUUUUAGUACUUACUUCCCCACCUCACAGGUGUGUUGUGGGGCGUAAUUAAUUGACAUCUAAUAAAGCAGAGAGCUGCUUUGAGUCUGCAUGCACAGCCAGGCAGCAUGUGGUACAACCCUAUUGUCAUGGCCAGCAUCACACAUGACGCUGCACAUCCUGCUCUGCAAAACCCAUUAAAAACCCUCAACCUUAGUUCCUGAGGUGGAAAAUAAUUUGGCAGGAUUUUCUCCUGAGCUUGGGGAAUGGGGGAAAAGCCAUUUGCACAGUUUCAGCCUUCUGCUGCCACACUGGCCCUGGAAAUACCACGUUUUGUUUGGAUGUGGUGGCUGAAGCAUGUUGUGGAGAGGGAAAUGGAACAGGACCCUGGGCUCCAAUUGGAGCUCACCAAUGAAUCCCGUAGGGUUAGGACCAAACUUUUAGAGUAGUUACAUCCCACCCAACCCAGCCCUUGGUGAAGUCAAUGGGUCUCCAUUGACUUUGGGUUGAGUGGGAAUGAACCCAGCCAAAUUAGGAUAGUUUUCUCCAUUUGUUCCUUAACCUGCUGCGAGGAGGGGUCGAAGCCCUGGCUCGGAAGCCAUGGCAUCGGCAGCCGAUCCGCAGGGAUGUUUUGUGUGUUUCUAAGCCUAUGACUGUUCUGAAAGAGAAGUAUUUUUAAUUCCUUUUUUUGUUGUUGUUUUCCAUUUGUAGAAGGAAGGACAAGAGUAACCUGUGGCAAACUGUACAGUACGUGUCUUCUUGUGGUGUCACUGUUUGAAUGGUUAUUCAGUUUUCAAAUCACUGUGGACAGCUAAUCACUUAAGUUAUUAAUUUAUUCUUUGGGGUUUUGUUGUUUGGUUUGGUUUUUUUUUUUUAUUAAAAGUAAUUUGAAACAAUUAUUUAUCCUGUAAAUUGGUCUUGAGUGAAGCCUAGAUAAUACUUUUUUGCUGUUAAUAAACAUGGUACAUGCCUGA
ensembl:lncRNA